UAAGUAGGAUGACAAGGAGACCAAGGAAGCCCAAACAGGCGAUAGCAGCGAUGAUCGCCACAGCAACUAAUGCUGGAUAGUAACCAUCACCAUCUUCUGUAGACUUAGCUGAGGGAUCUUAUCGAAACAAAUACCGAGCUUUGGAAGUUCUCCAGCUCGAGUAGUGAUGGUCAGGACGUUGCUCUUCUUCUUGCGACCAUUAGACAAGUAGGCUUCUAGCCACACUUGAUAUUCCACAUCUGGCUUCAGUUCACUCAAGAAUAGCUUCCUUUCUAGGCCAGUCUUAGGAACCUUAAAAGUGUCAGCAUCUACUCUUUCAUCCUCGCGUAACUGGAUGGGAUCACAGGGUUUUGUUAGAUAACAGGGCAUCUGGUGCAGUCUGAAAUUUCGAUCUGCCACUGUGAGAGGUGCACCUAAAGCCAACCAUUGUGGUUUGAAUUGCCCUCAUGCCCUGAGAUUCUUAACAGAAAAAUAUAUUGUAUUUCUUUGAAGAUCGACUUUUACCAAUAAUAAUAAUAAUAAUAAUGUAUGGAAAGUGAUUCAAGAGGCAUUACAAGUAAGAGGAAAAGCAUUCUUAGCUCAGAGCUCCCAAAUUAUCUCAUGGUACGUGAAUUUAUAUUUAAUAUUUAUACAGGUAUUUAUAUUUUAAUUAUAGCUGUAUGAACAUCACAGAUAAACAAUUAUCAACAUGUCAGAAACUCAAGCAGCAAAUUUUGUUUUAUUUAUUUACUUCAAUAUAUUGUAUGUGCUGUACUGUAUUAAAAUUUAUCUUUUCAAACCAACAACACUUAAUAUAUGCAAGAGUGGCAUUAAAUGUCAAUUGGAUAGAGGAUCAAUUAUUAUAUUAAUAAGCAUAGCACAAAAUUUUUGUAUUUAUAAUAGAAAUACUGGAUGGGCUGAUAGGGUGCAGAAAUGUGAUGAAUGGAACUGUCAAGAUAUUUUUUCAUUUGCCCCGGCUAGUGGGUCAUUCUGUCCAAAACACGAUCUGUCAAUGGUUUUACAUCCAGGUCCUUAUUUACUGCCGAGAACACGGUGAUUCAGUCAGGUAAAUAAACUAAUAUAAAUGUUUGUGUGUAUAGUUUGUCCAUGGAGGUGUAAACAAAAUUCUAUAGUAGUGCAGGCAAAUCUGGAUAUAUCAAGAUGAAUUGUAUUAUCAUUAGCUAAAUAUUAAUAAUGCAUUGCUAUGAGUUCUAAAUUCAAAAUCAGGUCAUCCCUAAUACAUUUUGUUGAAACUUUUUGGCAAACAACUAGUUUGUAUAAUCAAAUCAAAAGAAUGAGUUUAUAGAAUGUUACAAACAAAUAUUUAGUUAUAUAUUUUAACUGCUAUAGAUCAUACACAAAAUAAUUCUACAAUUUAAAGCAACUUAAUUAUCAUUUACCUUCAUCCAUAGUAGUGUAAGUAAACACUGGCGACGUAAUAGGCUUGGUACCCUGCACGGUGAGAACGAUUUGCAUAGCAUACUCGGUAGAGGGCUGCAGGCCGGUCAAGAUGUGAUCCCAUUCAGACUGGCCAAUGAUAGAUCCCAUAGGCACCAACACCUCCUGGGACCACGUGUUUACAUCAGAAUGCUCCCUGUAAAAAAAAAAUCAUAAUUACCUUAGGUAUUAAAAAUGAUACUUGCCUGCUAGGAUGAUAAUUAUAAUUUAUUAAUUAUAAAAAGUCAAUACAACCACCGCUAUACUGUAGGAUGACCAAGAAACACACUUCCUGUACAGUACGUUAAUUGUUGCAGUGUUUGAAGAUUCUUCAACAUAAAAGCUGUUGAAGUUAUUGACUAAUAAAGGUGUUUAUGUAGA